CCCCCCCUCGGCUCGGACAUCCUUUGUGAAUGGCCCCCAACUGAGCUACGUGGUCAAGUCGGUUCGAGUUGAUGAUAUUUAGGAACUGAGUCUAAUUCCUUCGAUAUCAGUGUAUUCUAUGAUACGAUGUUUUUGUGUUGUUGGUGUUAUGUGUACUCAGGUGAAUAUGCUCCCAAAGGUCGCGGGUUCGAUUCCCACCGUGGCCAAGCAAACUUUUCAGCUUGCCCGGUGUGGACGCACACUCUGAGUAACAUCACAGGCAUCAUAUUCACCUGAGUACACGUGCAUAACACCAACAAACACAAAAAAAUUAUACAUGGUCAACUGCAAUGGAUCUAUAGGAGGGAAGAGCAGCUACAGUGGAAGAGAAAUAGG